CAGUAGGGAAUCUUCCACAAUGGACGAAAGUCUGAUGGAGCAACGCCGCGUGAGUGAAGAAGGGUUUCGGCUCGUAAAACUCUGUUGUUAAAGAAGAACAUAUCUGAGAGUAACUGUUCAGGUAUUGACGGUAUUUAACCAGAAAGCCACGGCUAACUACGUGCUAG
rnacentral:rRNA from 1 species